GCGACUAUGGCGGAAUUGGUAGACGCGCCAGACUUAGAAUCUGGUGUUUAGGCGUGGAGGUUCGAGUCCUCUUAGUCGCACCA
rnacentral:tRNA from 1 species